rnacentral:tRNA from 1 species
GCCGGUGUAGCUCAGUGGUAGAGCAAUGCUUUCGUAAAGCAUGGGUCGCGGGUUCGAAUCCCAUCACCGGCU